AGAAAUUCGUAUCUCAUGCGUAUAAGGCUUACAGACGAUAACGGGGAAAAUGACACUAGGCAAUGUUCGACUGACUCGGGUAGCGUUGGAUAUUUGCCCACAUCCUUUUCUCCGAUUGCCACGGAUGUUGCUAGGUAACAUAUUGAUAUGAUUGUACCAAACUAUUCUGAUGUGUCGAUAACGACUUAACCAUUAGAUAUUCCACUAUUGACAUCAGCCCAUAAACUUGAGAACACGGAUACUUCGGUAAAUAUUUACCGUGCAAUUGAGGAAGCCGUGCAUGAAAAACUACAAUAAUUGGAUGUUAAAUCAUUUUCAGUACCAGCCGUCCUACCUCGAGUAACAAAAGUCCAAUAAGAUGGAGAGGGAAAGAUCAAAUAUCCUGCUAAGCGACAGAGACAGUUGUGAAUGACCGUCCUUAAUGGCCGAGCGUGAGGCUCGAUCAUCGAGGAAAUCAUCCCGCGCUCAGGAUCACAAACCCGUACAUCUAGUUAUACAGAUAGAUUACUGAUAUGUCUGACCAGAGCAUGGACAAACGUUCAUCAUGUUUAAAUUAGCAGUCCUGGCUAGGUUCCCUGACUCUGACGUCACCGGGACAUAUUCAGUAAAAGACUCCUUUGAAAUUUAUGUUAACGGACAAGAAAUGUUUUCAAAACUCAGGUCUAAAGCAUUUCCAGAAGUCGAUGAGGUAUUGGAUGAUAUUCAAUAUACAUUCUGCAAAAACAUGAACAAAAGGCGUAGAUCCUCCCUAUGUACAGUUUUAUAGAUCAACAGACAGUAACAUCUGACGAGAAGCUACAGAAGUUGUGUAAACAGAAUAUCAUAUUAAGUGUAUUAUGAGCUUGCUUGUAAAAUCAAUAGUGUGGAGUAGCUUUCAGGGCCAUUAUACUCAGAAUGACUGUACCUAACCAAAAUCCCUGUACCAAGGCGGGUUAGUAUACGAUAUUGAGUGUCAAUAGCACUAUAGUCCGAAGUGUGUGUGUUUUAUACAGCUAAUGGUUUCUACAAUAAAAUAUCUGAAAAUGUUAA